UUGUGAUGAUGAUUUUGUCUUAUACCGCCCCAGUCUGAAUAUUCAUGACUGAUUGGUAUCCCCUCUGAUCACAA
ensembl:snoRNA SNORD31 Small nucleolar RNA SNORD31